CCUACGGGGGGCAGCAGUGGGGAAUAUUGGACAAUGGGGGGAACCCUGAUCCAGCCAUGCCGCGUGUGUGAAGAAGGCCCUCGGGUUGUAAAGCACUUUCAGUGAGGAAGAACGCCUGGUGGUUAAUACCCAUCAGGAAAGACAUCACUCACAGAAGAAGCACCGGCUAACUCCGUGCCAGCAGCCGCGGUAAUACGGAGGGUGCGAGCGUUAAUCGGAAUUACUGGGCGUAAAGCGCGCGUAGGUGGCUUGAUAAGCCGGUUGUGAAAGCCCCGGGCUCAACCUGGGAACGGCAUCCGGAACUGUCAAGCUAGAGGGCAGGAGAGGAAGGUAGAAUUCCCGGUGUAGCGGUGAAAUGCGUAGAGAUCGGGAGGAAUACCAGUGGCGAAGGCGGCCUUCUGGACUGACACUGACACUGAGGUGCGAAAGCGUGGGUAGCAAACAGGAUUAGAUACCCUAGUAGUC
rnacentral:rRNA from 1 species